AACGAACGCUGGCGGCAUGCCUAACACAUGCAAGUCGAACGAGACCUUCGGGUCUAGUGGCGCACGGGUGCGUAACGCGUGGGAACCUGCCCUUAGGUUCGGAAUAACUCCCCGAAAGGGGUGCUAAUACCGGAUAAUGUCUUCGGACCAAAGAUUUGUCGCCUUUGGAUGGGCCCGCGUUGGAUUAGCUAGUUGGUAGGGUAAAAGCCUGCCAAGGCGACGAUCCUUAGCUGGUCUGGGAGGAGGAUCAGCCGCACUGGGACUGAGACACGGCCCAGACUCCUACGGGAGGGAGCAGUGGGGAAUAUUGGACAAUGGGCGAAAGCCUGAUCCAGCAAUGCCGCGUGAGUGAUGAAGGCCUUAGGGUUGUAAAGCUCUUUUACCCGGGAUGAUAAUGACAGUACCGGGAGAAUAAGCUCCGGCUAACUCCGUG
rnacentral:rRNA from 1 species